GGGUCAGUAGGUUGGUCGUGCCACCGGUACGUACUGGUCUCACUGAUUCCUCCUUCCUGAAGAACCGUAAUGCCAUUAAUUUGGUGUUGCGGGGAAAAAGGACUGUUACUUUGAAAAAAUUAGAGUGUUUAAAGCAAGCUAACGCUUGAAUACAUUAGCAAGGAAUAAUGAAAUAGGAGGAUCGAUCCUAUUUUGUUGGCUUCUAGGAUUGACGUA
rnacentral:rRNA from 1 species